CAAUAGCGUAUAUUAAAGUUGUUGCGGUUAAAGCUCGUAGUUGGAUUUCUGUUGGGAACGACCGGUCCGCCCAUUGGGUGUGCAUCUGGCUUGGCCUUGGCAUCUUCUUGGAGAACGUAGCUGCACUUGACUGUGUGGUGCGGUAUCCAGGACUUUUACUUUGAGGAAAUUAGAGUGUUUCAAGCAGGCACACGCCUUGAAUACAUUAGCAUGGAAUAAUAAGAUAGGACCUCGGUUCUAUUUUGUUGGUUUCUAGAGCUGAGGUAAUGAUUAAUAGGGAUAGUUGGGGCGAUUCGUAUUUAACUGUCAGAGGUGAAAUUCUUGGACCGUUUGAAGACAAACUACUAGCGAAAGCAUUUGCCAAGAAUGUUUUCAUUAAUCAAGAACGAAAGUUAAAGGUUCGAAGACGAUCAGAUACC
rnacentral:rRNA from 1 species